rnacentral:rRNA from 1 species
CGCCUGUUUAUCAAAAACAUAGCCUUUUGAAAACUUAUAAAAGGUAUUUUCUGCCCAGUGUAAAAUAAACGGCCGCGGUAUCCUGACCGUGCAAAGGUAGCAUAAUCAUUUGUCUUUUAAUUAAAGACUAGAAUGAACGAAUAAACGGAUAUUCCCUGUUUCUAUUUUAACAAUAAAAUUUUAUUUUCAGGUGAAGAAGCCUGAAUCUUAUAAAAAGACAAGAAGACCCUAUCAAGCUUCACUAUAGAUUUAUUACUAAUAAACCCUAUAGUUUUAUUGGGGCGAUACAAAAUUAUACAAAACAUUUUAUUACAUAAGAUUUAUCUAUCUCUUCAUUUAACUUUCAUAAAAAUUUAAGAAAGCUACUGUAGGGAUAACAGGCUAAUAUAUUUCAAGAGCUCAAAUCAACAAAUAUGAUUGGCACCUCGAUGUUGGCUUAGGAAACCUUAUUUAUGCAGAAGUAAAUAUUGGUGGUUUGUUCAACCAUUAAAUUCCUACGUGAUCUGAGUUCAGACCGG